GGCCGCAGUAUUUUAACUGUGCAAAGGUAGCAUAAUCAUUAGUCUUUUAAUUGAAGGCUGGAAUGAAUGGUUGGACGAAAUAUUAACUGUUUCAUAAAAAUUUUUAAUAAAAUUUUAUUUUUUAGUAAAAAAGCUAAAAUUUAUUUAAAAGACGAGAAGACCCUAUAAAUCUUUAUAUUUAAAUUGUUAUAAAUUUUUGGAUAAUUUUAUUUAUUAUAAUUUAUAGUAUUUUAUUGGGGUGAUAGUAAAAUUUAAUAAACUUUUAUUGAUUUUUUGACAUUUAUUUAUGAGUAAUUGAUCCAUUAUUAAUGAUUAUAAAUUUAAGUUACUUUAGGGAUAACAGCGUAAUUUUUUUGGAGAGUUCUUAUCGAUAAAAAAGAUUGCGACCUCGAUGUUGGAUU
rnacentral:rRNA from 1 species